rnacentral:rRNA from 1 species
GACGAACGCUGGCGGCGUGCCUAAUACAUGCAAGUAGAACGCACAGUUUAUACCGUAGCUUGCCACACCAUAGACUGUGAGUUGCGAACGGGUGAGUAACGCGUAGGUAACCUGCCUGGUAGCGGGGGAUAACUAUUGGAAACGAUAGCUAAUACCGCAUAAUAUUAAUUAUUGCAUGAUAAUUGAUUGAAAGAUGCAACUGCAUCACUACCAGAUGGACCUGCGUUGUAUUAGCUAGUAGGUGAGGUAACGGCUCACCUAGGCGACGAUACAUAACCGACCUGGGAGGGUGAUCGGCCACACUGGGACUGAGACACGGCCCAGACUCCUAAGGGAGGCAGCAGUAGGGAAUCUUCGGCAAUGGACGAAAGUCUGACCGAGCAACGCCGCGUGAGUGAAGAAGGGUUUCGGAUCGUAAAGCUCUGUUGUAAGAGAAGAACGGGUGUGAGAGUGGAAAGUUCACACUGUGACGGUAUCUUACCAGAAAGGGACGGCUAACUACGUG